rnacentral:lncRNA from 1 species
GAUCGCUCUUCAGGGAGGGAGGAGGGCUGCGGAGAAAACCAUCAAGAUGCUUGUACUUUCUCUCUUUCCUUGGCAAUCGGGAGCAGCUUUGCCCAAGAAGGGGACAUAAUCAGGCAUCAUUGUGGAUGUCACAGAUGGGAGGCGGGGGCCUGCCAGCUGGGUCACGUGACGCAAACAGGUCGAUUGGGUCCUCAAGCUCCAGAAGCACGUGGGUAGGAGGAUGUAGAGCGUGCACGAGCGUGUCCUGCAGACUCGUACACUAAAGAGCAUUUCCCUAAAGUUUAUUGCAUUGUUAAUCUUCGUUUCCUAAUAGGGCAAUUAACGUUGGAGAACAUAACUUGAUCCGCUGUUCAGAAGGAUUGCGGAGAAGUUUGGUUGUACUGUAAUAAGUAAAGCCCCUGUAUGACACGCAACUGGUGCCUCCAUGUGAGCUGUAUAUAUAUAUAUAUAUAUACGUUAUCCUAGUAUCUGGUGUGUCACAACUACAUAGCAAAGGUGUAUGCCGCACAGGGCCAAAGUUUAGUUUCAUUUGUGUUAAUUGGAUACUGUAUUCUCAUGAGGCUGCAACAGAAGCUCAAAACAAGUUGUUAAAAUGUUUCACCUCCCCUAUAACAUUGAGAUAUUGCGGCUCGGGAGGCUGAGGCAAAGUCAGCCUCAGCAAUUUAGCGAGGCCCUACCCAACUUGAGUGAGACUCUGUCUCCAAAAAAAAAAAAUGCUGGGGAUGUGGUUCAGUGGUUAAGCACCCCUGGCUGGGUUCAAUCCCCGAUAGAAAAGGGGAAGGGAAAUAGAAAAAGGCAUUUAAAAAUUGGAUUAUUAGGUAUGGAAACCAAAAAUGAGGCUUACAUACGUUUAAAUCUGAAAACUAACAUUUAAAACACAACUGAAGCCAGAGUGAUGAUGUUCCCUUUAAGUCUGUUCAUAUUCCUGACAACCAUUUAGAGAUACUGCCGCCAGUUUUACAGAUAGAAUUCAUUAGCGUAGUAACCUGCCCCCAAAAUAGUAUUAACUGGCAGAGUCAGAUGCUAAUCUAAAUCUUUUUGGCUUGUAAGUACAUAUUCUCACAACAUAUUAACACUAGUGGAAAUACUCCAGAGGGGGAGUAAUGUACAGUUAUACUUACGGAUGAAUACUGCAUGGCUUUUGGCAUGUUUUUUUGUGGGGGUGAAGGGGGUGCGGUUGUUGUUACAGUGUCAUUCCAAACCAUUGGACUUUUUGGACAGGAACAGGAUACUAAUUAUUGGGCCAGACUAGUCCAAUAAUAACUUUGUUUGUACCUCCUCGCAGUUUAUAAAAGUGUAGCCAGAAUUUUAUAAUACAUACAAGGUUUCCUCUUCAUUUAUUAAGGAAUUCUACUGUAAAUACUAAAUUAAAAAGCAUGAAACUUUUGCCUUUAUGAAACAGAAACAUGCCACUCUCUUUGGAGAGAGAUUCCUAACACCAAGUAUGUAUAAUGAACACCUCGCACACAUUAGAACCUCCAUACAUGUUUUGCUUAUUGAAUGAAUGAAUGAUCAUAUAACUGAUGUCCUUGUCAACCUUUCUUCCAUACUUGGCAGAGGCUUCAUAUGCUCUUUUGAAAACACUAAUCUGGCUUUUUAUAUCCUUCAGUGAUUCUCAAUUUAAGUGUUCAGAUAAAGCCCACACUCCAUUCAUUUGUAGGGCGGGCACUCAAGCUCAGUCCUGAAUUGGCUUUCUCUAUAUGCCUCUUCUAGCCCCAUCUCUCUACUGCACAGCUACCAUUCUAUUCAUGCCAGAAGUACACAUCUGUUAUGCCUUUGCUGUCAGGUCUAAACACAUUGGGUGCGUCUCUAAUAUGCCAUAGGGAGCUGUAUGGCCUCUACCAUAGCACUAAAACUAAGAAUGUAUCUCUAAACCAAUGGUUCUCAAACAUUAGGGCGCAUCAAAAUCUAGGAAAGCUUGUUUUAAAAAAUAUUGUUGGGCCCACCUCUGAAAUUCCUGAUACAGCAGGUCUAGGUUGGGGUUUAAGAAUUUGCAUUUCUAACAUUUCCAGGUGAUGCAACUCUGAUGGUCUAGGGGCCUAUGCUUUGAGACCCAUUAUUCUAUGAAUUUUAAUUCCUUAGGGUACCGGAAAUGAGAAUGUACUAACAGAUUCUUUGUAAAUGAGUUGAACACAUGCAUGAAUACAAAUAAAUGUAGUUUUCUCUUUUCUGCUUUUUGUAUUAACAAAACCUGGUAUUGAAGACCUCACAAAAGAACAUCUUAUAGAUUUCCACUCCUCACAUAUUGCUUAUAAAAUUCUGUAAUUUGAAGUUUAUAGCAUUUCCCUAGACAAAGGCUAUUUGUGAUCUAGACACCUAUAAUCCUAAGUGAAUUUUUAAGAUUUAUUGAUUGAAUCAUGGUAUGUUAGAGCAGGAAGGGAGUCUUAGAGGCUGUUUGGCCCAUUUCCCCUACACCUGGAGGGGGGGACAUCCACCAGAUUUGUCCGCAGAAUUUAUACAGGAAGUUCUAC